AUGAGAAGAAGUUUAAGGGGCGAAAUAGAAGCUUUAUAUUUUGAUAUGAAGGAUUAUUAGUCAAGAUUGGGCUAAAUAUCUCUAAGGAAUUUCAAAAUACAUACUCAGCUUACACUUUCUGCUCAGAAUUAAUAUUUUCUACUUCAAGAGGAGUGCAGAAACCUGACUACAUGGAGUAUAGGUUCUGCCUCACGCCCCUGCCCAUCUCACCCUGGAUCAGAAAAAAAGGAGGCUUGGGAAUACCUGAAAAUGGGCUUCACGGGCGGGUUGACUUCCUAUCUCCGUCCCCGCAAAAGGCUGCAGCUUUGCCCCAGACUUCCUUGGCGCCCACCCCCCGAGGCAGCAAAAGGAAGCAAUAG
rnacentral:lncRNA from 1 species